rnacentral:rRNA from 1 species
AGCGAACGCUGGCGGCAGGCCUAAUACAUGCAAGUCGAACGGAUCCUUCGGGAUCAGUGGCGGACGGGUGAGUAACACGUGGGAACGUGCCUUUUGGUUCGGAACAAGCCGGGGAAACCUGGUCUAAUGCCGAAUGUGCCCUUCGGGGGAAAGAUUUAUCGCCAUUAGAGCGGCCCGCGUCUGAUUAGCUAGUUGGUGGGGUAAAGGCCUACCAAGGCUACGAUCAGUAGCUGGUCUGAGAGGAUGAUCAGCCACACUGGGACUGAGACA